rnacentral:rRNA from 1 species
UGGGGAAUAUUGGUCAAUGGGGGAAACCCUGAACCAGCGACGCCGCGUGAGGGAAGAAGGUUUUCGGAUUGUAAACCUCUGUCUUCGGGGACGAAUCAAUGACGGUACCCGAGGAGGAAGCCACGGCUAACUACGUGCCAGCAGCCGCGGUAAUACGUAGGUGGCAAGCGUUGUCCGGAAUUACUGGGUGUAAAGGGAGCGUAGGCGGGAAGAUAAGUUGCAUGUUAAACCGAUCGGCUCAACUGGUCGUCGCGUGCAAAACUGUCUUUCUUGAGUGGAGUAGAGGCAAGCGGAAUUCCUAGUGUAGCGGUGAAAUGCGUAGAUAUUAGGAGGAACACCAGUGGCGAAGGCGGCUUGCUGGGCUUUUACUGACGCUGAGGCUCGAAAGCAUGGGUAGCAAACA